rnacentral:rRNA from 1 species
UACGUAGGCAGCAAGCGUUGUUCGGAGUUACUGGGCGUAAAGGGUGUGUAGGCGGUUGGAUAAGUGUGGUGUGAAAUCUCCCGGCUUAACUGGGGGGGUGCGCUACAAACUGUCUGACUAGAGUGUGGGAUGGGUAAGUGGAAUUCCUGGUGUAGCGGUGAAAUGCGUAGAUAUCAGGAGGAACACCGGUGGCGAAGGCGGGGUCUC